rnacentral:lncRNA from 1 species
UGACUAAACACGCGUGAGGACUUGGAGAAUGAAUGUGUCUGCUAAAUCUUCAAUCUCUAUCAAAAAAGAGGUCAUCACCUGUAAAACCCUGCUUCCAAACGGGGUUUUAAAUAUCAUAAAAUAAUCCGAAAUAUUUUAAUUAAUUCCAAAUAAAAGUUUAAUUAAUCCCACAAACACUCAGUAUUCAGGAAAGAAACUAAAAUAGUACUUAUUACAACAAAGGUGAGGACAAUGACUACAACAUUUCACACUCUACGCACUCGUGCCUCGUCCUCGACGAGUUCUUUGUCUCCUGCCACUCCAGUUAGGCAAGGUUGCCUUCAUUCCCCGCAAUCAUGGCAUGCAUCCGUGAGUGAUUACAUCACUCAGUAUGUAAAACAUAGAUACCAACACUUGUCUAACAUUAUCUAUUAACAUAAUACAUAUGAGUAAGUAAACAUUCAGUCUAAUAGUAACAGUCAUUCAUCAAUCACAAACCCAUCUGGGUCGUCAUUCAUCAUUCACUAUUGGUUAGGUGCUAAAACACCUCGGUCAUAUCUCAUUCAUGUAUGCUUUCAUUCAUACAUACAGUGUUAUUCUUAUUCCCUUGUCCAUUCAUGUAUAUAUCCCCCCUAAUCCUAUUAACAUUUUAAAACAACAACAAGUAUUCGAAACAACCCACAAGAUAAAUAUCUUAAUUGCUAACACAUAUGCACCCCGAUAACAUGUUCAUUAUUUAAAACAAAAAUAAUUAAUCGAACCAGUCCACGUGAUAAUUAACUUAUAUGCAAUUCAAACAUGCAUCCGAUAGCAUUUUCGUCAUUAAAAACAGCAACAUAAAUACUACAACCCACGCACAUGAUAAGUAUCCUACAUGCUACAAAUAUGCAUCAUCUGAAAACAGAGAUAAAUAAGCCGCAAUAAAAUCGACAGCAACAAACUAAAACAACAAUAUAAUAUUAAACAUGGAUAGUUUAUAUGCAAAUCAAUCAUGCAUUCCGACACCUAAAGCCAACAAUAGAAUAAUAGACCCAACAUUCCAAAAAUAGCAACAAAAUAGAGAAAAAUAUGAUACUAAACUCAAUCAUCAACAGUGAAUCGGAGGCAACAAAAUAAGGUAAAUAUAAUAUUAAACUCAAAUAACCCAAUAAUCAACAGUGAAUCAGAAGCAACAAAAUAAAGAAAAUAUAAUAUUAACCUCACUUAACCCAAUCCUCAACAGUAAACCAACGAUAGUGAAAUCCAUGGAUCGGAUGACCCAAGGUGUUUGGGUACCUUACCAUUUCCCUACAUUAUCAUUUAGGAACAUAUUCAUCAAGAUCGGAUCUACUCCGAUACUUCUUUCAUUGAUCAUCUACCCUUCCUUUUCCAUCAACCAUAUCCCUUAUCUUACUCUCGAAUCUAACACUCUACAUACCUCCUCCGUUGUCCGUCGAGCUUCACACCUCCCACACCACGAUACCGGUGCUACCUUACAUAUCCAAGCCAUGCCCUAGCCGUUUUCCUUUCUCCCUCUCCUCCUUCGGUCGUUCUUUUUUAUUUCAUUCCUUCUCUAUUCUUUAUUUUAUUUAUAUUUUACCUUUCUACCCUUAAUCAGGUCACACACACUAACCCAUUAUUACAUCACCGGUG